UAUCUGGUUGAUCCUGCCAGUAGUCAUAUGCUUGUCUCAAAGAUUAAGCCAUGCAUGUCUAAGUACAAACCUUAAUACGGUGAAACCGCGAAUGGCUCAUUAAAUCAGCUAUGGUUCCUUAGAUCGUCUCAUCCUACUCGGAUAACUGUGGAAAAUCUAGAGCUAAUACGUGCUUACAAGCCCUGACCUCACGGGAGGGGGCGCAUUUAUUAGAUCAAAACCAAUCGGGGCUUGCCCCGUCUGCUUGGUGACUCUGGAUAACUUUUGUGCUGAUCGCAUGGCCUCUGCGCUGGCGACGUAUCUUUCAAGUGUCUGCCCUAUCAACUUACGAUGGUAGGUGAUAUGCCUACCAUGGUUAUAACGGGUAACGGGGAAUCAGGGUUCGAUUCCGGAGAGGGAGCCUGAGAAACGGCUACCACAUCUAAGGAAGGCA
rnacentral:ncRNA from 1 species